GUGAGGAGCUGGGCAAGGGGGGGCCCACAGGUCUCUGGCACAGCCUGAAACGGCCUGCUGCACAUAGCUGAGGACCUGAGAUGAGGCCUGGCCUCUGUGAGCAGAGCCUUGCUACCUACCCAGGGGCUGUGCGUCUCCAUCUCGCUCCAUUUCUGGCCCCUGGCCAGGGGAGGGGGCUCAGCUACCCUGGGCUUUUAGUGGCCCACCCUAUCAGAGAAUCUGCAGAAAUGGCCUGUGAGGGCCUCUUCUGAGCACUUCCGGCUCCUGUUCCCCAGCCCCUGCCUUCCUGCUGGGCGCUCCUUGGGUGGGGAGGAUUUGGGGAUCAGCCUGGCCAGCUGGGGUGGAGUGUAGACCUGGCAAGGGCAGGUGUGUGCCCAUCUUUGUGGCCAUUCUUGUCUUGGCUGCUGCUGACUCCCCACAGGGGAGCCGGGGUGGUCUGUGCCUGUCCGGGAUGAGGAUGGCGAGGAUGGUGGUAGGAACGUAGGUGGGAGGGGUGACGCCUGGCCAUGCAAAUGAGUCCUUUCCUUUCUCCUCCUAAGACAUGCCCUGCUCGGCUCCCUGGAGCAGCCUCUCGUCCACCCCUAGGAGACACAUGGAUUUUGUUCUUCUGUUUGUGCAGAGGAGAAGACAAGGUCCACCGGGAACACGAUGCUGAGAAGGAUGGUGGGCCAGAGUCCAGGCAGCCCAGCGAGCUCGCCCACCCCGCGCGCCGGGGCCCGGCGAGAAGGUUCGAGCUGUUGGCGGGGAGAAAGACGGCGAGACCCGGAGAGGCCGCUCACUGGAUUCGCCCCGGCCCGGCCCCGAGCGCAGUUACCCGUCCCGGGCGGGAGCUGCCGCCGACGCCUGCCGCUCCUCGGCCGCCGCCGUCUCCGCCUCCGCUCCCCAGCGUUGCCCGUUCCCGCCUUCUCCUCGGUGCCCGCGGGCCCCACACGCCGCUGCCUGGGGGAGGAGGGCGCGGGGACGUCGCCAAAGGUGCCGGGCAAGUUCCGGAGCACCGCGGGCCGGCUGGGAGCCGAGCGUCCGCGGGGUCAGCUGCGGGGCGCCCAGCUCCUGCUCCCCCGGACCGAAACGGGCACGACUGUCCCCGCGCCUGCAGCAGCUGCCUCCGCGCGUAUCCGCGCUCGGCUCGGGCACCCGGCGAUUAUCACUGGGGCGCGCGGUGACGUCACCGGCCCCAGCUCCGCCGCCGCCUCCCCGAGGUGUCCUUGAGAACUGCGGGGCACGCGCGCCGCGCACACGCGCACACACGCACUGCGCGCCCGGUGCCUCCCGCGCACACGCCGCGUCCCGCCCCGCGCGCUCCUCUGCUUACAUGGACGCCGCCCUCGAGCAUCCUGGACCGUGCCCGGCGCCCUGUGGCCACACGGAUGACCAAGGAAACACCUCUCUCUCUCACACGCUCCAACCCCGCCCGCGCCCACGCGGGUGCUCCUCCUGCAGCCCGCCGGCCACAGCCGCUCUGGGCACACACUGACACCCACCAGCCACGCCUCGACCGCACACAGCCAGCCGCGCCCGCAGACGCUCCUCUGAACUCAGACCUUCACCGCAGGUUCCCGCCGUCAUUUCCCAGCAGCCCCUCCAGCCCCCGGAGGAAGGGAAGGGACUUGCGGAGGGAGCACAGCGCCCACGGGGCACAGGCCUUGCUGGGUGGUUAUGCGGAGGAGAGAGACAGCGACCCCUCGUCAAAGACGGCUCCCUUUUCUCACUGUGUCCUGACUGGGGCGAGGCGGGGGGAGUUCUUGCCCCCAGAGACCACGGAAGCGCAGGCGACAGACACCUCAUGGGCUGACUGCGGGGCGAGUGCCCUCCCCUUAGGGUCCUUCGGAGGGCUGACCCUGAUCUGUCUCUCUAGGGCCAAGGAUCAGCGGCUUUCCUAAGUCACACCGCCUCAUGCCUCCCCCAUGGGUCUUUGUUGCGGUGCAGAGCGUGCGGGAGCUGCAGGCCUAGGGUGGGCCGCAGGCCUCUGCCCCUCUCCUUCCCUCCAGGCCAGCCCAGCCCCUGCGCCAUCUGCCUUAGAGCAGAACCUACUGACCCCACUGCCCUGGGUGUGCCAUCCUGCUUCCUUCCCUCUCAGCCUCUCCAGCACUGCGGGGCAAGGAGAGCCAACUGGGAAGGGUGUUGGGACUCAGGGUGGCUCUGCCCCAAACCUGCUUGUCCUCCACCAGCCAGGUUGCCCCUCCCCCUCGGUGCAGCUUCAGCCUGACCGUUUGGGCUGGCCCUCAUUCCUUCACCCUUUACCGACCCUUCUCUCUCCCAAGGCAGGCACGCACCCACCCCCCCACGCAUACCCCCAGUGCAUCACACUCAGGAAACCUCCCCAGACCUUUGGGGCUCACAGCUCGCGACGGGCGCUCUCACUGGCCGGGGUGGACAGUGAAGGACGCUGGGCAGCUGGCAGUUUCAGCUUCAUCAGAGACUGCGUCUCCCUCUGCCUCUGCCGGCCCUGUGGCGCUGGACACCCACCCUCAGCCUGAUGCUGCUCCCCACAGCAGUGGGAUCCGCUGUCCAUGGUGUUAAAGCUGAACCCUGAACCCGUCUCGACUUCUCCGGCCUUGCCUCCAGACUUUUCGUCCGUCCUCUCCCAGGAAGAGUUGAGGCCCAGGUGGGGCCGGGAGGGUAGAUGCCUGCCCCCACCCUUGGCUUCCUGGAUGGGUUCUUGGCGGCUCCGGCCUCCAGCUCCCUAGAGCUUGUUUGCAUUCUAGGGGGCACGGAUCCUCAGGUUUACAGAUGCUAAACCUUUUCCGAGUCCCCUUUCCUCCCCCAGGGCUGGCUCCCCCAGGGCUGGGGGAGGGUGCUGCCCCUCAGACCUGUCCCAACCCUUGCGCCCCCUCCCCUCUGACUUGCUCCACCACGGAGGCCUCUGCACAAGCAUCGCAGGCAGCCUGGUUGCGCCCCUUUGCUUUUUGCCAUCCCCAGGGCAGCCUGAGGGCAUUUCCUCUUGCCAUUUUUACCUCUCCGAGUCCUGAGCACCGAUGGGGUCCGAGGCUCACCCCUUGCAUUCCCAGUGACUGGCAGCCCCCACCCUGGCCCGAGGGAGGAAGAGCUGCCCUGGGCGUGGGGGUGGAGUCAACCGGGGUGCCCGGUGGGAAAGAGAGCCUACCUCCAGCCUCCGCCCCGUCCGCCCUUCUGCCUCAGCCCACUGGGGACCUUCUUGGUGGCCUGGGAGCCUCUGAAGGUUUCAUAAGAGUCAACUUACUGCUGGCAGGCCCGGCUCAGGUUGUGCUCCAGUCGCCCCGCACCGUGGGCCCAGCCUCGCUGCACCCGAGCCUUCUCUCCAGCGCUGCCCACACCGCCGCUCCUCCCCAGCACACGAGAAUUUGUUUGAGGGUUUAUUUAUUUGCCAGCUCCGCAGAUGGGGGCAGGGGACUCCCCGCUCGGAGUGAAGGGCGUGGGGAGGCUGCGCAGCCAGGCCGCUCAGGGCUCCAGGUUCCAGGCGGCUGCCUCCGUGCGCACAAAGGCCCUGCGCACCACGGCCCGACAACUUGGAGACGGGUCAGGUGGCUUCGCGGGGUGGGGGAGGGAGGAGGAAGGGAGGGACGCAGGAGACCCCCUCCCCUUUCCCUCCCCUCCGCCACCGUGAAAGCCUGCGAAUAGCGUGGGAUUAAACAAACCCACAGAAACGGUGAAGAAUCUCCUCCCUUCCUGCUCCUGCCUCCUCCUCACACUGCAGCUGCUCCUGGGCACGAGGUCUGUCAUUCCUUCAGAAGGGGGCGUGGCCGUGGCCACAUCUGGGAACAGCUGGCUCACCCUCUCAACCCUUGAC
ensembl:lncRNA